AGAGUUUGAUCCUGGCUCAGGAUGAACGCUGGCGGCGUGCUUAACACAUGCAAGUCGAACGGGAAUUACUUUAUUGAAACUUCGGUCGAUAUGAUUUAAUUCUAGUGGCGGACGGGUGAGUAACGCGUGGGUAACCUGCCUUAUACAGGGGGAUAACAGUCAGAAAUGACUGCUAAUACCGCAUAAGCGCACAGAGCUGCAUGGCUCGGUGUGAAAAACUCCGGUGGUAUAAGAUGGACCCGCGUUGGAUUAGCUAGUUGGUGAGGUAACGGCCCACCAAGGCGACGAUCCAUAGCCGGCCUGAGAGGGUGAACGGCCACAUUGGGACUGAGACACGGCCCAGACUCCUACGGGAGGCAGCAGUGGGGAAUAUUGCACAAUGGGGGAAACCCUGAUGCAGCGACGCCGCGUGAAGGAAGAAGUAUCUCGGUAUGUAAACUUCUAUCAGCAGGGAAGAAAAUGACGGCCUGACUAAGAAGCCCCGGCUAACUACGUGCCAGCAGCCGCGGU
rnacentral:rRNA from 1 species